GAUGAACGCUGGCGGCGUGCCUAAUACAUGCAAGUCGAGCGAACCGACCGGGAGCUUUCUCCUCUGACGUUAUCGCCGGACGGGUGAGUAACACGUGGUUAGCCUAACUCUACGACUGGGGUAACAUCAGGGAACCAUAUCUACUACCGGAUAAUAUAUCGACCCUCAUGGUUCACUAGUUAAAUACGCUUUUUCUUUCACUAAUAGACUACUACGCCGCGCAUUAGCUAGUUGGUAAGGUAACGGCUUAGCAACGCAACGAGGCGUAGACGACCCGAGAGGGUGAUUCGAUACACGGUAACUGAGGCACGGUCCAGACUCCGACGGGAGGCAGCAGUAGAGAAUCUUCCGCAAGGGACCAAAGCCUGACGGAGCAACGCCGCGUGAAUGAUGAAGGUCUUCGGAUGGUAGAACUCUGUUAGUAGGGAAGAUGAAAAGUGUAAGUAACUAUGAACGUCUUGACGGUACCUAAUCAGAAAGCCACGGCUAACUACGUG
rnacentral:rRNA from 1 species